UUUAAUUUCGAAACUGGUUUUUGUAAAUUAGGCAUAAUGUAUUUCAAUGCGCGAAUUGUAUUGUGAAUAGUAGGGACCUGUUCGCCUUGGCUGCCAUUUUCCCCAGGAAGGCCAGAUUUGCACUGGAGUGUACAAAAACUCGAGAUUAGUAUCUAAAUGCAUCUAAAUCUCAGUAAAUGAAAAUGGCGAUUUCAUGAUGGGUUGACGACGAAUAAAAAAGUAAUCAAUUCGUAAAGUAUACGAAAUAAUUCUCAUAAGAUAUUCGUUCCACGCACUAAAGUAUUCGUAAUGCGCAGGUCGCUUAAUAAAUAUGCGAUUUGUGUUAUCGUUGUCCUUGCUUUGUAGAUAGACAAUUAUCGUAAUUGUAAGUAGGACAGUUUUGACAGAAAAAUUUGGUUAGUUGGAACUGUGGAACGUACAGAAAUUAUUUGUGCUUAUGGCUGCUAAUAUAAAGAUAAUACGAAUAAUUCAAAGCAGGAAAGAUGCAUGAAAUCAGAUGUUUAAUAAAUGUGAAAGUAGAUGAAAUAUAAGUCGAAAAAAAUGAGCUGGUUACGAAGUAGUCCGCUGAGAACUAGUUUUAGUAAGCAGCGAUCAAGAGACUCUCCGCCAAAGGACGCUGAUCCAUCGGCAUGUUAUGACAGCUUCUGUAAACACUGGCAACAAGCUUAUGAAAUUAUCUUGCACACAACUCCACCUAAAGGGAUACCAAAUCAAGAUGAUGUUCUUGGAGUUGUUAAUCACAUAGACCAAAUGGUAACUCUUUUAUUAUUGGAAUUACGAGAUGCCAACUUUUAUAAUAAUUAUCGACAAUCUACAACGGCAACACAUUCUCCAUGCCUGGAAUAUUUGUUAAGUGAAAACCUUCUUGUUAAACUUUAUGACUGGAGCAUACACACUGGAAGGUUUAAUAAUGCUGUACGUUUGGAACAGUUGAAACUGUAUGAACUUUUAGUAUCUCAUAGCGGUACUCUUCUUGCCCAUGAACCAGUUGCCAGACCAUUGUUACGAUUACUUGAAAAUUGUGCAAAUGAUAUUAUGCCAUUAGAAGUAGAAAAAAAAUUAGUAGUGUUAUUAAAUCAAUUAUGUGUUGCAUUGAUGCAAAACAUGGCUUUAUUAGACUUGUUUUUUCAUCCAACAGCAGUAGGCAAAAGCAAAUUCAUUAUUUUUACAUUACUAAUACCACAUGUACAUCGAGAAGGUGGAGUAGGGCAGCAAGCACGUGAUUCCAUGCUACUUUGUAUGUCUCUCUCUAAAAAGAAUGAUGAAGUUGGGGUAUAUAUUGCUGAGCAUUCUAAUAUAUGCCCUGUAUUAGCUACAGGACUGAGUGGAUUGUAUUCAUUGUUACCUAGAAAAUUAGAUAUUGAAACAGAUGAUUGGUACAGAUUAACUCCAGAUGAUGUUAACGAUUUACCAGCACUAAUGCAGCUUAUGAAUUCUUUAGAAUUUUGUAAUGCUGUUGCACAAGUUGCACAUCCUUUGGUACAAAAACAGUUACUAGAAUUUUUGUAUCAUGGUUUUUUGGUACCUGUAAUGGGACCAGCUUUACUGCAGGAUUCUCUUGGUUUGACCAUAGAACAGCUAGAUGAACAAGAACACUGGACAACUGUGGACGAAUUAGUUGCAGCAACAGCGUAUUUUGAUUUAUUUCUUCGCUCUGUAACUGAACCUGGCCUUUUGCGUUCACUUGUUAGAUUUUUACUUGAGGAUAAUUAUGACGAAUGUAGAAUAUUGGAUAGUCUUAUUCAGAGGAUAUCUUCUAGAUCACGGUUAUGUAUAGUGACAUUGGGAUUGUUCGAAACUUUGGUUAAUUUGAAUUGCGAAGACAUCAUGUUAGAAUUAUGUCUAGGUGCACUGAGUCCUUGUUCCCAUGUAAUGCUUUCUCAGCGUAGAAGGUUACGGGAUAUAGAUCCAUUUGGACGUGCAGCUGAAAAGUUUUUGUCUUUGACGCCAAGUUGUUGUGCACCAUUUGCAUCUGUAAAUUCUCAAUUUAAUUCUUUACCAAAUAACGCAACACAUGAAAAACAUUCAAAUGCUUCAUCUGAAAUCUUAAAAUCAUUACCUACAUCUAUAAAUUAUGGUGCUAGAGUAUCAGACAGUUUGUACGGAAAUUAUCACGCAUAUUUGUGUGACGCCCGACAAAAAAUAAGAGCUUGCCGAAUCGCAUGCUCUAAUUGGUCGUAUCAAUAUAACGGAGAGUUGCCUAAAGACAGUACUACCAGCAGUGCAACAACUCUGAUAGAUGAUAAUACAUUGUCAGAUCAGUCUCAAAAAAAAAUUGAAACCAAAACCAUGUCAUUAGAAACGUUAAAACAUUCAGCUGUUUUCAAUGAAAUUAGUGAAAAUUCCUCAGCAAAUAAUGUGUUAGUUAAUAUUCAGUCUUUGUUAGACCACAAAGAUUUAAAUGUCACAGAAAAAAAUGUAAAAUCAGAAUCUUUGAAAGCAGCGGGAAUAGAAUUAUCGUUAGAGGAACAAGCAAAGUUAGAUGCAGAUAUUGCUGAAUUAUUAAAUGAAGAUAUUGGAAUAUUAGAGCCGACUAAGGAAAUGUCAUUAAUAGACAAAAAAGAAUUCGAUAGCGGUAUUGAUGAUUCAAAUACUGCUAUGAAUUCCCUUUUAUCGAUAGGCGAAAGCAGUGGCUAUGAAAGCUUUGCGUUUAAAGGUUCAUCUGAGUCCACACCAGAUAAUGAACCUAGUGAAGAUCGAAUAAGCGAACAUGAAGAAAUAGAGGUUGAAUCAAACAAAGAACAAGAUAUAUUUCUUCAUAACAUUGUGGAGCCGAGUGCAAUUACACCGGAAGAAUUAACAGCAAACAAACAGACUAAAGAAAACUAUCGUCAAGAUGUGUUUAAUGGACAACCAAAUGUUGGUAUAUUUUUGGAUGUUCUUUUACGAAAGCUGGAAUGUAUGACAAGUAAUAAUUUAUAUGUUAAUUUACAUCUAACUGGUCUCAUUAGCAGACUGGCAAUAUAUCCUCAACCAUUAUUACAGUCAUUUCUCCUAAAUCAUUCCUUAGUGUUUCAACCUAGUAUCAGAUCACUUUUUCAGGUACUUGCAUCAUUGAAACAUAAAAUAGACCAGUUUCUAUCACAGCAUAAUAACAUAGAAAUAUUAGUAGAACAAGCUCGCCAAUUUUUGAUUACUCGCGAAGAUAAAUUAGUGAAUGCAAGAAAAAAUGCAUUGGAAGCUGCUGCUCAUUCUAUGCCUGCUAAGAGAAAUUCUUUAAGCGGGGAGCCAUUUUCAAGAGAUGAAUUAUGCUUCAUAGGCGAAAGCAAAAGAUGGAGUUUAACGUCCUCCUUUACACAAAUGCUUAGAAGAUCAAGCGGUAGUUCAGGUCCAAGUAGUUUAAUUAAUGUAAAUCAGUCACCUAGUUUGUCAGAAAAUCAAUUGGAAGCUAUUGCCCAUAGCUCCGGAUAUCGGUAUUAUACAAAAACGUCCUGGGAAUCCCCAAAUGAAGUAAGUCCGGUCCAAAACAUGGUCUUAUGCGCAGUUGUAUUAGAUGAAUGGCUGAAAGAGCUAGCUGCUAUUACACAGGAACAUGCCAUUAUGUCACUUACAAGUAAUUUGGAAUUUCAAGUUUAGCAUGAUUGUAAUAAACAUGUGAUAUAUUAUUAGAUUUGCAUAUAAUAAGCUAUAGAGUUACAGUGUUUAUUUGGAGUCAUAUCUGACAAAAUAUGAAGAUAUGAAAGAUUCAGAAACUAGCCUUAAAGAUUGUAGAUUUAUAUGUUUCCGUUGAUGUUAUCAAUUUUAAAUAUUAAUCACGUUACGUUAACACGUGUUAACAAAAGAAUAUAUACAAAUAUAUUUAUUUGAUAGGCGCUUUUAAAGUACUAAUUUAUAGUAUUUAAAUGAUAUCGGCCGAAUCUUGUUGCGAAGACUGACAUUUAGAGCAAUUUCCUAC
rnacentral:misc_RNA from 1 species